AACCUGUGUUGAGGAUAUUUCCAUAGAAGAUCCUUGAACCUUUCCCAUGUCUCAAAGAGAGAUUCCAAUUCCAUUUGCACAUAGGAAGAUAUCUCAAUCAUAAGCUU